rnacentral:sRNA from 1 species
GCUGGGUGUGGUGGUGCCCACCUGUAAUCCCAGCAGCUCAGGAGGCUGAGGCAGGAGAAUCCAGAGUUCAGAGCCAGCUUCAGCAACUUAGUGAGGCCCUAAAUAACACAGUGAGACCCUGUCUCUA